rnacentral:tRNA from 1 species
UGGCGACAGCCAGUUGGACAGACCGUGAACGCAGUGAGCGGGCUGCCCGCAGGGCGAGCGAAGCGAGUCAAUCCCCCCCUCACCGCCA